AUGGAGGACUUCGAUACCUAUGACGAUCGGGCCUACAGCAGCUUAGGUGGCGGUAGAGGGUCCCGCGGCAGUGCUGGUGGCCAUGGGUCCCGAAGCCAGAAGGAGCUACCCACAGAGCCCCCCCCCCCCCUACACAGCUUACGUAGGAAAUCUCCCUUUUAAACAGUUCAGGGUGACAUAGAUGCUAUCUUUAAGGAUCUCAGCAUACGGAGUGUGCGGCUAGUCAGAGACAAAGACACAGACAAAUUUAAACGGUUCUGCUAUGUAGAAUUUGAUGAGGUGGAUUCCCUGAAGGAGGCUCUGACUUAUGACGGUGCACUCUUGGGUGACCGGUCACUUCGUGUGGACAUUGCAGAAGGCAGAAAACAAGAUAAAGGUGGCUUUGGAUUCAGGAAAGGCGGGCCUGAUGACAGAGGCUACAGGGAUGACUUCUUAGGGGGUAGGGGGGGCAGUCGCCCUGGGGACCGGCGAGCAGGACCUCCAAUGGGGAGUCGCUUUCGAGAUGGCCCUCCUCUGCGUGGCUCCAACAUGGACUUCAGAGAACCCACAGAAGAGGAACAAGCACAGAGACCGCGGCUGCAGCUUAAACCUCGGACAGUGGCAAUGCCCCUCAAUCAAGUAGCCAACCCCAACUCAGCCAUCUUCGGGGGAGCCAGGCCCAGAGAGGAAGUGGUUCAGAAGGAGCAAGAAUGAGCUUAGGUUGGGAGGGAAUGGGGCGUGGGGGAGCUGGAGCAAGACCACGGCCUGGUGGCAGCUGGUCGCCCUACAGGCCCCAUUCCCGCCUGGCACUGUCCUCCUUACAGCGGAAACACAGAGCUUGUGAGUGCAUGUCAGCUGUUAACAAGUGGUUUCUAGUACAUUCUUGGCUUUGCUAUAUCUAUCCAGUGCCUGUUUUGUGAUUUCUUUCUGUUUUCUUUCUCUCCCCUCUCACUCCUGCCCUCUCCCUGCCCUUCCCAUGUGGUGUGGAUGUUGGUCACGUGUGGAAGGUGGGCUGAGGUGCUUCAUCCUUUGCUUUCUUUCUUUCCUUUACACACCCUGGCCACGCUCAGGGCGUGCUGUCCUCUGCUUUUUCUCAGAGCUUCUCUCCAACCUGCAUGUCGAGUUCUGUGUUGCUGUGGCUUCUGGGAAAGAGCUGGAGCCACUAGCUAGGUGGCUGGUGGUGACUUGUUGGUAUCCAGCUGGGAUGAGCAUGCAGAAUUGGUGCACCUUGGGGUCGAACAAGAAAACUGCCUGC